rnacentral:RNase_P_RNA from 2 species
AUACUCAUGUAAUCGCUGCAUACUUUGUUAUGUAGAGGAAAGUCCAUGCUCACACAAACUGAGAUGUUUGUAGUGUUCGUGCUUGAUGAAUUCAUAAGUCAAGGUAGCUAUUAGUAGCUAACGGCAGGAGAAAUUCCUAAGUCAUUUGAUAUGGAAGAUUAUCCUUGAAAGUGCCACAGUGACGGAGCUGGAAUGGAAACAUUUCAGGUGGAACGAGGUAAACCCCACGAGUGAGCAACCCAAAUAUUGGUAGGGGCACCCUUUAUUAGGGAAAUGAACCGAAUAAGGGACAAGUUUAACUUGUAGAUAGAUGAUUACAACCUGCGUACGAGGCUGACCACCAUCUGAAGUACAACGGUACAGAACAUGGCUUAUCGAG